AUACGUAGGUGGCAAGCGUUAUCCGGAAUUAUUGGGCGUAAAGCGCGCGCAGGCGGUCCUUUAAGUCUGAUGUGAAAGCCCACGGCUCAACCGUGGAGGGUCAUUGGAAACUGGGGGACUUGAGUGCAGAAGAGGAGAGCGGAAUUCCACGUGUAGCGGUGAAAUGCGUAGAGAUGUGGAGGAACACCAGUGGCGAAGGCGGCUCUCUGGUCUGUAACUGACGCUGAGGCGCGAAAGCGUGGGGAGCGAACAGGAUUAGAUACCCUGGUAGUCCACGCCGUAAACGAUGAGUGCUAAGUGUUAGAGGGUUUCCGCCCUUUAGUGCUGAAGUCAACGCAUUAAGCACUCCGCCUGGGGAGUACGGUCGCAAGACUGAA
rnacentral:rRNA from 1 species